rnacentral:rRNA from 52 species
GCUCUUGCAUCGAUGAAGAACGUAGCGAAAUGCGAUACUUGGUGUGAAUUGCAGAAUCCCGUGAACCAUCGAGUCUUUGAACGCAAGUUGCGCCCGAAGCCAUUAGGCCGAGGGCACGCCUGCCUGGGUGUUGCACAUCGUUGCCCCCGUGCCUUGGCCACGU